rnacentral:lncRNA from 1 species
GCAGCAAAGAACUUGUUGAAAACCUUGACUACAUUAUUUCUGGCUAGCGUUCAUUGACAUAAAUUUAAGUAUCUAAACACAACUGGAAGUGAGUUUAUUAGUAGCUUAAGUAAGUGAUGUAUUCCUCGUGAGUUAGUACUAUCUUUUUGUUUUGUUUAUCGUGCACUAGUAAAUAAAGACAUGUAGGCAACUGGUGUGUGUACAUUUUUAAGAACAAAAGACUUCCAGCAGGUGUUUAAAAAAACAUUAACAGAGCAAAUAUUAUUAAGACAACCAAAUUACAACGGAUACGUAGUAGCUCGUAAGAUCAACGAACCGAGCAAUGGAUAAAUUACAAAACAACAAAGGUGCGAGGUUUAGCAAAUAAGACAUAGAAAGAACAGAUCGGAAGAAACCAAAUUACAACGGAUACGUAGUAGCUCGUAAGAUCAACGAACCGAGCAAUGGAUAAAUUACAAAACAACAAAGGUGCGAGGUUUAGCAAAUAAGACAUAGAAAGAACUGGGAAGUAAACUUCACACAGAUCUGCAAUUAACUGU